GGAUGCGAUGAUACCAACUUACAUGCACUGGAUUCUAUUCGAACUUUAAAAUUAAGCGAGUUCGGGCGAGAGUAGUAUCAGGAUGAGUGACCUCCUAGAAAGUUCUUGUGUUGUAUUCC
rnacentral:rRNA from 2 species